rnacentral:tRNA from 1 species
AGUGAAGUCAGCUAAUUAAGCUCUUGGGCCCAUACCCCGAAAAUGUCGGUUGCAAACCUUCCUUCACUA